GCCUCUGUGGAUCAAGGUUGGAUCACCUCAGUGUUGUCCAACUGUAGUCACUCCCUUAGCCCUACAUGAGGAGAUGUGGGUUCGAAUCCCACCGGGGGCA